AUGAAGAACGUAGCGAAAUGCGAUAAGUAAUGUGAAUUGCAGAAUUCAGUGAAUCAUCGAAUCUUUGAACGCACAUUGCGCCCCCUGGUAUUCCGGGGGGCAUGCCUGUCCGAGCGUCAUUGCUGCCCUCAAGCACGGCUUGUGUGUUGGGCCUCCGUCCUCCUCCCGGGGGACGGGCCCGAAAGGCAGCGGCGGCACCGCGUCCGGUCCUCGAGCGUAUGGGGCUUCGUCACCCGCUCUUGUAGGCCCGGCCGGCGCUUGCCGACACAUCAAUCUUUUUUCCAGGUUGACCUCGGAUCAGGUAGGGAUACCCGCUGAACUUAAGCAUAUCAAUAAGCGGAGGA
rnacentral:misc_RNA from 1 species